rnacentral:rRNA from 1 species
GUGAGGAAUUUUCCGCAAUGGGCGAAAGCCUGACGGAGCAAGGCCGCGUGAAGGAUGAAGGCCUAUGGGUUGUAAACUUCUUUUCUCAGAAAAGAAUUAUGACGGUAUCUGAGGAAUAAGCAUCGGCUAACUCUGUGCCAGCAGCCGCGGUAAGACAGAGGAUGCAAGCGUUAUCCGGAAUGAUUGGGCGUAAAGCGUCUGUAGGUUGUUUAAAAAGUAUUCUGUCAAAGAUUAGGGCUUAACCCUAGAUAGGCAGAAUAAACUUUUAAGCUAGAGUUUGGUAGAGGCAGAGGGAAUUCCCGGUGGAGCGGUGAAAUGCGUAGAUAUCGGGAGGAACACCAAAGGCGAAGGCACUCUGCUGGGCCAAUACUAACACUGAGAGACGAAAGCGAGGGGAGCAAAUGGGAUUAGAUACCCGGGUAGUCC